AAGAUAAGGUCACUAGCCUUUGAACCUGUAACAUACCAAACUCGCCACGGUACUGCAGUUCCAGUCAACCAGUCCCUGCAGGAUUUCUGACUGGACAUAUUUUGUUUGUUUCACUUUCUAGUAACAUGUAUGCAGAAAACUUGGAAAACAAGCAGGCACAAAGGACCCAACAAAGCAGCAAAAACAGAAGAUUCAGUUGAUAUGAUCCCCAAGUACGUGGACUGGGGCCACCCAAACAUCAUUUUCUGUAUACUGUAAAAAGUUUUUGGAGAGCUGACGAGAUGGCCUACUGGAUAAAAGCCCUUUGCCAUGCAAACCAGAAGACCUGAGUUAGAUCCUUGGGAUCUGCAUAAUCUACAUAAAGAAAUGUACUAUUUGUGUGGAGCAUUUGCACACGUGAACUCAGCCAUGUGAGAGAAGACAUAAGACCUGGGAAAGCUCAAGCUGGAUGAGAUCUCAGCAUGGAGGGGGAAGGGCACGACGUCUCACCCCUUGCUGAUCACAACUGGUGAUGGACAGCUGCCAAUGGAGGGAGAGCUACUUUUGUUUGAGGGCGUGGCCCCUGGUGGGUAGUCACACCAUAGGUAGGCAUGUGUAGGCACACAAGCAUAUGUAGGCAGCACAGUCGGACUUGACGGUUAAAAAAGACAAUGAAGACACAAAGCUGGAGAGGCAGGAGAUGUGGGGGGGAUCUGGGAGGAGUUGGGUAAGGGAUGAAUAUGAUUAAAACAUAAUUUAUGGAAUUCUCAAAAAAUAAAUCAUAUUUUGUAAAUUUA